CCGACUUUAGCUCAGUUGGAAGAGCAUCAGAUUGUGAAUCUGAAGAAACACGCGCCGGCGAACUUGCGGGAGUUGAA